AUGGGUGAAGUUAUUUUUGCUGCAUGCCGUUUGCUGUUCUUCUGCAAUGAUGCACUUGAAGCGGAGAUACAGGCAAUUCGGGAAGGGAUGUCUCUAGUCCUUCAAUGGUCUAAUCUUCCGGCUAUGGUGCAGUUGGACUCUAUGGAAGCUCUUUCAUCCUUGUCUAAUGCAUCCCUGGCCAAGUCGCCUAAUGGCCACCUGGUCGAUGAAAUCAAGUCGUUCCUUCUAGAGCGGGAAUUUAUUCCAGUUAAGAUAACUCAUUCUCAAAAUAAGGUAUCACAUUGUCUAGCUAAUUAUGCUCGUACGGCUCGUAGUACCGCUUGUUGGUUACAACGAGCUCCUCCCUUUAUUCAUGAUCUUGUAUUACCUGACUGUAAUCCAGUGGCUAUGGAAUAA
rnacentral:rRNA from 1 species